UACGUAGGGGGCAAGCGUUGUCCGGAAUCAUUGGGCGUAAAGAGCGCGUAGGCGGUCCGGUAAGUCCGCUCUGCAAGUCCGGGGCUCAACCCCGGGAGGCGGGCGGAUACUGUCGGGCUAGAGUCCGGAAGAGGCGAGUGGAAUUCCUGGUGUAGCGGUGAAAUGCGCAGAUAUCAGGAGGAACACCGGUGGCGAAGGCGGGUCUCUGGGCAACAACUGACGCUGAGGAGCGAAAGCGUGGGGAGCGAACAGG
rnacentral:rRNA from 1 species